UCUAUCCUUGAAUGGGGGGACAACCGUGGGAAACUACGGCUAAUACCGCAUGAUGCCUGAGGGUCCAAAGACGAAAGUCGUUUUGAGGAGGAGCCUGCGUCUGAUUAGGUAGUUGGUGGGGUAAAGGCCUACCAAGCCUGCGAUCAGUAGCUGGUCUGAGAGGAUGAUCAGCCACAUUGGGACUGAGACACGGCCCAAACUCCUACGGGAGGCAGGCAGUGGGGAAUAUUGGACAAUGGGCGCAAGCCUGAUCCAGCAAUGCCGCGUGGGUGAAGAAGGGUCUUCGGGAUUGUAAAGCCCUUUUGGCGGGGACGAUGAUGACGGUACCCGCAGAAUAAGCUCCGGCUAACUUCGUG
rnacentral:rRNA from 1 species